rnacentral:rRNA from 1 species
GUGAGGAAUAUUGGACAAUGGGCGCAAGCCUGAUCCAGCCAUGCCGCGUGCAGGAAGACGCAUCUAUGGUGUGUAAACUGCUUUUGUACGGGAAGAAACACUCCCUCGUGAGGGAGCUUGACGGUACCGUAAGAAUAAGGAUCGGCUAACUCCGUGCCAGCAGCCGCGGUAAUACGGAGGAUCCAAGCGUUAUCCGGAAUCAUUGGGUUUAUAGGGUCCGUAGGCGGUUUAAUAAGUCAGUGGUGAAAGCCCAUCGCUCAACGAUGGAACGGCCAUUGAUACUGUUAGACUUGAAUUACAAGGAAGUAACUAGAAUAUGUAGUGUAGCGGUGAAAUGCUUAGAUAUUACAUGGAAUACCAAUUGCGAAGGCAGGUUACUACUUGUGGAUUGACGCUGAUGGACGAAAGCGUGGGGAGCGAACAGGAUUAGAUACCCCAGUAGUCC